CCCAAAACCCAACCCUCCCGUUUGACAAAUAAAAGAAGUAAAAAAGAGAAAAUGUCGUACAAGCUAUAGCACAUUUUUCUUUUCUCAUUUAUUUUAUUUUUUUUCAUUUUGUGUGUUUUAUACUGAUUUUGAAUUAGUUUUUUUGGAAAGUGAUUUUAUUUGUUUGAGGUUUGCUGUUACGGGGAAAGGUUUACAGAACUUUUGUCUCCUGUAUGUAAUUUAAUUUUAUUGUAUUUUUACUGUGUAUAAAAAAAAAAAAACGGUCGUCCUCUGUGCCAGUUUUGUACUUUACGAACGAGGCAAAAAAAAAAAAAAAAGAAAGUUGCCUUGACUUUUUUUCUGCGGUUUAAUUAUCCAGAAGCGAAGUUUACCUGUACAUUAAGAGAACCACGAGAAACUUGAUUCUGUAAAGAAUCCUCUCUGAGUCAUUGCCUGAAGGUGUAUAUGAAAACUAUAUAAAUAUAUAUAUAAAAUAUCUUUAUAUAUAUAUGAAUAUAUCAAAGCGGUGCUUUAUUUGACUGUGGUUGUAUAAUAAAAGCCCCCACCCCACCCCUCUCCCCAUGUUGGACCAGCUGGAGCUUUUUAUUUUUCUUUACUGAAGUACAUUCCAUAAUCUAUUGUUUAUUUUUCGCUUCUUCUGCUGUGUUCUGAUUGACCUUUUUUUUUUUUUUUUUUUUUUUUUUUGAUUUUAUUUUAAUAGAGAAUAAAUUAAUAAAAACAGUUUUAAUAAGAAGAAUUAUGAACUUGAAUCAACGUGGAGCUGUGAGGGUGUUUUUUCUUUCUUUAUCUUUUCCUCAGUGUUUGACGAAAAAGAGAAAAGUUGAAGUUUUAAAAAGAAUUGUUUUCAGGCUGCAAGACGUUGUUUCUACGGUGACGUACGGGACGCUAAGCCUGGGACGUGUACAUAUGUUUCAGGACUCUCCUCUGACCAGUUCCUGGAACAAACCGGAGGGAUUCAUAUUAAAAGCAGGCGUCAGAUGGAGAACUGUGAAGACGUUUGAACGUUCGGAGGACUUACGUGUAACCUUCAGCUUUACGGACGAUGUCCAAACUCUCCUUGUCAGAAUCCUCCUGGUGUUUCUGCGUCCUCUUGAACCUGAGAGAGUACACACACACACAUUGACAUGUUGAAGUCUGACGGACACUGACCGAAAUCCUGGGAGGAGUCACGCGUUGGGAUGCUGAUAUUUAAGAAUAAAAAUAUUCCAAACGUG